rnacentral:lncRNA from 1 species
UAUACUAUAUAAAUUUAUGACUAGAGUCGCCAAAAAAAAAGGGUUAAUUCCAUACAGAUUUCUAUAAAUAUAGUGAAUUAUAAAUAUAUCGCUAUAAAAUUUAAUUUUUAUAUAUUGUUUCUGUAAAGUCCUGAUAUUUCUAAAUAUGUCUCUACCGUUAGUAUCCGUUAGGGAAAAAAUUAAUUAACCAUAUAUAAAAUACUUAAUUCUAGUUAGUUAAUGACAUGAAUUGACAUUUUUACCCCUCUUUAAUUAAUAGUUGAAAAUUUUGGAGGGACAUAUUUGUGAUGGCAAAAAUAUCAUUUUAUUCAUAACGGUAACAAAUCAGAGAGAUAUAUUUGAAAUAUUAGGAUUUUUGCAGGAAUAAUAUAUGAAAGUUGAAUUUUGUAGAUAUAUAUUUACGAUUCACUAUAUUUGCAGGAAUCUUUAUGAAAUUAAUCCAAAAAUAAAAUAAAUAGUAUUUUAACGGUAACAAACUGGAUGAAUAUAUUUAAAAAUAUUAAGACUUUUGUAAGAAUAAUAUAUGAAAGUUGAAUUUUGUAGAUAUAUAUUUACGAUUCACUAUAUUUGCAGGAAUCUUUAUGAAAUUAAUCCAAAAAUAAAAUAAAUAGUAUUUUAACGGUAACAAACUGGAUGAAUAUAUUUAAAAAUAUUAAGACUUUUGUAAGAAUAAUAUAUGAAAGUUGAAUUUUGUAGAUAUAUAUUUAUAAUUACUAUAUUUUUAGAACAUAUAUAAAAUUAACCCAAAAAAACUCUCUCUGUAAACAAAAUUAAGAA